UACGUAGGGGGCAAGCGUUGUCCGGAUUUAUUGGGCGUAAAGAGCGUGUAGGCGGCCUGAAAGGUCAGCUGUGAAAACUCGAGGCUCAACCUCGAGACGUCGGUUGAAACCAUCUGGCUAGAGUCCGGAAGAGGAGUGUGGAAUUCCCGGUGUAGCGGUGAAAUGCGCAGAUAUCAGGAGGAACACCGAUGGCGAAGGCAGGUCUCUGGGCCGAUACUGACGCUGGAGGAAGCGAAAGGCGUGGGGAGCGAACAGG
rnacentral:rRNA from 1 species